rnacentral:SRP_RNA from 1 species
GAUGCUUAGUGCGGGCAAGGCUCACCUCACCUCCCCAGGGCGGAAACGCAGCAAGGAAAGGCAUUGUUCUUGUGGUGCACUAGGCUUUUUG